rnacentral:rRNA from 1 species
UACGUAGGUGGCGAGCGCUGUCCGGAUUUACUGGGCGUAAAGGGAGCGUAGGCGGGCUUUUAAGUGAGAUGUGAAAUACUCGGGCUCAACUUGAGUGCUGCAUUUCAAACUGGAAGUCUAGAGUGCAGGAGAGGAGAAUGGAAUUCCUAGUGUAGCGGUGAAAUGCGUAGAGAUUAGGAAGAACACCAGUGGCGAAGGCGAUUCUCUGGACUGUAACUGACGCUGAGGCUCGAAAGCGUGGGGAGCAAACAGG